AAGCCUAGGGGCCAAAGCGUGAAGAGGGCAGGAGGAGUAGUAGGUAGCCAACCGCACCAGGGAUCGCCGGCGGAGAUGGCGCAGAGGGAGAAAUCGUCCGUCGCGGUCGCCUCCCUGUCGUCCUCGGCGCCAACCGCCGUGCCCUCGGGCGAGCGGUGGGGCGCCGCGAUCGGCAACCUGGGAGAGCUGGGCGCCAACGUCGAGUCGCUGCAGAAGCUGCUCGCCCGGAAGGCCGUCUUCGUCGACGACGACGUCUUCUCCAAGGCCUCCCUCGCCUCCGAACAGGCCCGCUCCAUCAAGAUUCUUGACCAGAGGGUGCAGUCUCUGGAACGUGAACUGGACGCUGCCAUUUCUGCAGCUGCUCGAGCCCGUACAGAAAAACGCCAGGCUGAAGCUGCUCAACGAGCUGCAGAGCUGCAUGCACAGGAAGUCACGAAGGAGCUGGAGAACACCGCAAGAGUUUUCCAGCUGCACAUGGAAGAGCUGCGGGCAAAACAAGAGGAGAUCGCCAAGAGAGAUAGUGAUAUCAAGGUGUUGGAAGCAAUAAUACAAACCCUGAGUAGCAAAGAUGAUGGCGGAUCCAGCGAGUAAUAACCAUACAUUGGGAGCAUUUGGGCAUUCUCAUUGAUGCUUUCAUGUUCAAGCAUCCCGACACAUAUUUAUCGACUCCAUGUACCAAGGAGGUGGCCAUGGAGAAGCUAGAAGCAAGGGACAAGCCCUCACAGAAAUGGAGCAAGGAGUGCAACAAGUGGAGCCGCCGCAAAGCAACAGUGUCUGAACACCCGGUCAAGGCAUGGAUAUCCGGUGCCAGCAAACAAAGAACAUUCGGAAGAAACAGGCGCCCGGUGACUCCCAUCGAACGACCAGACAUUCGACGCAUCCCUAGAAAUCCGGCUAGGAGGGUCUAGAAGUUAUGCCAAUUUUUGUCAGACGUCUGGCCAAGCCCCGAACGUCUGGCGCCUAAUGUCGGGCCAGACAUCCGGCAUGUCCAGGGACAUCUGGCACCUAUGCGGGCCAAAGGCACAUGUACCCCUCUCUCUCCCUUAUUUCGUCCAACACUAUGAAGAGACUACCCCCUCUUCCUCUUAGGGUUAGCAAAGUAUAUGAUUAGAUGUUGAGAGAGCUUUGCUCAUCUAUUAGUUCUCUUGGAUAUCAAGACCUCCUAGGAGAAGAUCCCUAAAUGGAUACCAAGGCCUCGUCUCCUAGGGAUUGGAGAA